rnacentral:lncRNA from 1 species
CUCUCGUAUCCACACAAUCUCUUGGUCUUCAUUCGUGUUGUGACACAAAUCUUUUCUUGUUCAUCUUUCCUAUCGCGGUAUCAACAUCUCAUAUGUUGUCUUGCUCCCAAAUAACUAGGAAGUGUGAAAAAUCCGCCUAGUGCACCACAUUUUCGGUGAGGUGUGACUCUGUUUCCCACUGUAACUAAACUACUCGCGGGUACUCUAAACCCUCGAAAAAGCAUUAUCAUGAACAAAACCAGAUCCAUAUUAAGUUGUGGCUUAGGGUAGUCAUGUGCCUAUAUUGACCUACUGUGCACACUGCCUACAGACAUGUGUCCCUCCUUAAGGUACCAAAUAGAAGUUAUUAUACCCACCAGCAAAAAAAAUUAUAAUAAGGGUACCAAAUAGAAGUUCUUAUACCCACCAGCAAAAAAAUUAUAAUAUGUCUCAUUAAGGGUCGGGUUGUUCAAGACUAUGGCUUUGGGGUACAUGUGCUCGUCCCCCUAAGACUUGUCAGGUGCCUUUGUUGUUCUAGAAGACACAGAGGUACAAUUUGUUGUCACUAAAAACCAAUAUCAUCUGGUCCUCGUCAAUUUAUCCUUGGGCAGGAGCUUAAUCCACCUCACUGGCACACUGCUAUUCUAUACAUUAAAAAAAGGAGUUGUGCAGUGGAUCAUAUGAACUAAUAGUAUACAAGUCGAACUCAUCAAGAUUUACGUCCACCGCCUCGUAACGGCAUUUCCCGAGGGUGGAACAUGUGAGUAUGCAUACUAGCACAAGGUGGAUGCUGGUGACAAGUGACGUCUCCAUCUUUGUAACUGACAAGUCCACAAGUGCUUGCCACCUGUCUAGUCCCCCGUCAUGUCAGACAGUUUGUUCCUCGCCUCGAUCGCCAUCUCUUUUUCUUCUUGUCGCCACCGGCACUACCACGGUCUCUACCAUCAAUGUCUAUUAAUUUUUUAGCCAUAAUUGAUCUAUUUAUCUAUGUGUCAAACCUUAUAACUAAUUGUACUUGGCAUUAGCGAUAAACAUUAGAUUGUCGAUCUUAUGAACAAGCACACAAAUGCCAAAAGAAGGAAAAUGCAUCAUACAUUUAGCUAGCUUAGCAACAUUUCUUUUUGUUGGCCUAUGACCUAAGAUAAGAAAGGUGGGAGUGGAGAGAAAGGAAGAAAGCCAAAUGAGUGAG